rnacentral:rRNA from 1 species
UACAGAGGGGGCAAGCGUUAUUCGGAAUUAUUGGGCGUAAAGGGCGCGUAGGCGGUUCUUCAAGUCUCUCGUGAAAUCCCUCGGCUUAACUGAGGACGUGCGGGAGAUACCGAAGGGCUUGAGUCCGGAAGAGGGUGGUGGAAUUCCCAGUGUAGCGGUGAAAUGCGUAGAUAUUGGGAGGAACACCGGUGGCGAAGGCGGCCACCUGGGCCGGAACUGACGCUGAGGCGCGAAAGCGUGGGGAGCAAACAGG